CCCUUCAGAGGGGACGACAGUUGGAAACGACUGCUAAUACCGCAUACGAUCUGACCUCGGCAUCGAGGAUAGAUGAAAGGUGGCCUCUAUUUAUAAGCUAUCACUGAAGGAGGGGAUUGCGUCUGAUUAGCUAGUUGGAGGGGUAACGGCCCACCAAGGCGAUGAUCAGUAGCCGGUCUGAGAGGAUGAACGGCCACAUUGGGACUGAGACACGGCCCAG
rnacentral:rRNA from 1 species